rnacentral:piRNA from 1 species
AGACCUUGCUAUGAGCCACGCACUGAGCUC